rnacentral:rRNA from 1 species
GACGAACGCUGGCGGCGUGCUUAACACAUGCAAGUCGAACGGAAAGGCCCCUUUUUGGUUACUCGAUUGGCGAACGGGUGAGUAACACGUAAGUAACCUGCCCUUGACUUCGGGAUAACUUCAGGAAACUGGGUCUAAUACCGGAUAGGAAUCCUUGCUGCAUGGUGGGGGUUGUAAAGCUUCUUCGGUUUUGGAUGGACUCGCGGCUUAUCAGCUUGUUGGUGGGGUAGUGGCUUACCAAGGCUUUGACGGGUAGCCGGCCUGAGAGGGCGACCGGCCACAUUGGGACUGAGAUACGGCCCAGACUCCUACGGGAGGCAGCGGUGGGAAAUAUUGCACAAUGGGCGGAAGCCUGAUGCAGCAACGCCGCGGGCGGGAUGACGGACUUCGGGUUGUAAACCGCUUUCCGCAGGGGCGAAGCUUGUGGUGACGGUACCUGCAGAAGAAGCACCGGCUAACUACGUG